rnacentral:rRNA from 1 species
AUUGAACGCUGGCGGCAUGCUUUACACAUGCAAGUCGAACGGUAACAGGUUAAGCUGACGAGUGGCGAACGGGUGAGUAAUGCAUCGGAACGUGCCCGGUCGUGGGGGAUAACGCAGCGAAAGCUGCGCUAAUACCGCAUACGAUCUGAGGAUGAAAGCGGGGGACCGUAAGGCCUCGCGCGAUCGGAGCGGCCGAUGUCAGAUUAGGUAGUUGGUGGGGUAAAGGCUCACCAAGCCAACGAUCUGUAGCUGGUCUGAGAGGACGACCAGCCACACGGGGACAGAGACACGGCCCAGACUCCGACGUGAGGCAGCAGUGGGGAAUUUUGGACAAUGGGCGAAAGCCUGAUCCAGCAAUGCCGCGUGCAGGAAGAAGGCCUUCGGGUUGUAAACUGCUUUUGUACGGAGCGAAAAGGUCUCCUCUAAUACAGGGGGCUCAUGACGGUACCGUAAGAAUAAGCACCGGCUAACUACGUGCCAGCCGCCGCCGUAA